UACGUAGGGUCCGAGCGUUGUCCGGAUUUAUUGGGCGUAAAGAGCGUGUAGGCGGCCAGACAGGUCCGUUGUGAAAACUCGAGGCUCAACCUCGAGAUGUCGAUGGAAACCAUCUGGCUAGAGUCCGGUAGGGGAGUGUGGAAUUCCUGGUGGAGCGGUGAAAUGCGCAGAGAUCAGGAGGAACACCCGUAGCGAAGGCGGCACUCUGGGCCGAUACUGACGCUGAGGAGCGAAAGCGUGGGGAGCGAACAGG
rnacentral:rRNA from 1 species